AUCUGUUUUUAAGAAACUAGUCUGUUCUGUUAGAAAAGAAACUAGUCUGAACAUAAGCAGAAAGACAACCAAAACAUAUAGAGUAUUAUACAUUCAUUUAUUUCUGACCGCUCCGAAUUUUAGAAUGUAAAUAUUGGAAGUAACUAGUUUCUUUUCUCAUACACUGACAUGGAAAAUCACCAAGCAACAGCAAUUAAACAAAAAAGAAAUAUAUCUUAAGUUUCGAAAUGAGUUUAAUUAAAAUGAACCAAAAAUCAGAAAAUUCAGUUUAAAUUGACAUCUGCAAAACAAAGAUAUUGUGAUUAAUAAAUUUUGUAUAUAAAGAUGAUGACAAACUUAUCUUUUCGCUUACGGAGGUAUCGCAUUUGCUAAAACGAUGAGUGGAGGUGUAUGCCUGCUUUUUAAACUAAAAUGAAAUAGAAGUAACUAAAUAAAUUAUAAAUAAGAAUAAGUAAGGAUAAACGCAAACUUACCUUUGACAUGAAGCGAAUCUUACAUUACGACGAGGCGAUGAGCCAAGAGUUGGACUGAAUUUUGCGGGCGGACUUCUUUAUCUAAGCCCGAUUCUCCGAGUCAAUUUCCUCACGGCCUCUCGCAGUGCCUCAUUGUCCGGCACCACUCUCUCAUUUUUUUCUACUUGCUC